rnacentral:lncRNA from 1 species
GAGGCGUUUGCGGCCCAGCGCCUGGACUGGACCUUGGCGUUGGGCCGCAGUUGCCCGGAGUUUUUGGGGCCCCCGGGAACCCGCGCGCCGAGGCCGGCUAAGUUUGGCAGACUCUCUGAGCUCUCGGAAUUCGACUGCCUCCAUUGUUGCUCCUUCUGGCACCCACAGACCACAUCUCUUCAGUGGACCCCCUGAUAGGCCGGUUUGCUCCAGAAGAGACGGGGUUUCACCAUGUUGGCCAUGAUGGUCUCGAUUUCUGACCUUGUCAUCCGUCCGCCUUGGCCUCCCAAAGUGCUGGGAUUACGGGCGUGAGCCACCGUACCCAGCCUGCUUCCUGUUUUAACAGACGAAGAAAUGGAAUAACUUCCAACAAGUUGGAGCUGAAGGAGUGCCCAGGCUGCGGAUGGAGGAAGGACGUGCUCGGGAGAAGGUGAAGAUGGGAGAGAAGCAAGAUCUUCUGUGUUUGGACCAAGGACACAUUUCCUUACUCCAUAGCAGCUGUGGUCAGUGGCUUAGCUCGGACAAGGAGAUGAGAGCCCAUGUGUUGUGAGGGUUCUUCUGGGAACUCUGAGAAGGCAGGAGCCGCCCCCGCCCUUCACUGCCUCUCUUCCAUUCUGCAGCAUGGAAUAUGGAUGUGUGGUCUGGAUGUACAGACACCAUUUUGGACCAUAAAGACAAGGACGAUUGUCUAAGGAUGACACAGCCAGAGCACUGAGAGUGGCGAGAAGGACAGGGGAGCUGCUGUGCCAAGCAGGACUGUCUCUCUUAAGAGAAAAAUAAAAUUUAUUGGUGUUUAAACCAUUAAAAAAAAAAAAAAAAAAAAAAAAAAA